rnacentral:rRNA from 1 species
AGCAGCCGCGGUAAUUCCAGCUCCAAUAGCGUAUAUUAAAGUUGUUGCAGUUAAAAAGCUCGUAGUUGAAUUUCGGGACCAUCAUGUCGGUCGUGCCUCGGUACGUACUGGUAUUGUUGGUUUCUCCCUUCUGACGAACCAUGAUGUCAUUUAUUUGGUGUUGUGGGGAAUCAGGACUGUUACUUUGAAAAAAUUAGAGUGUUUAAAGCAGGCUCACGCUUGAAUACAUUAGCAUGGAAUAAUGAAAUAGGACGUUUGAUUCUAUUUUGUUGGUUUCUAGGAUCGACGUAAUGAUUAAUAGGGAUAGUUGGGGGCAUUAGUAUUCAAUUGUCAGAGGUGAAAUUCUUGGAUUUUAUUGAAGACUAACUACUGCGAAAGCAUUUGCCAAGGAUGUUUUCAUUAAUCAAGAACGAAGUUAGGGGAUCGAAGACGAUCAGAUACCGUCGUAGUCUUAACCAUAAACUAUGCCGACUAGGGAUCGGAUGAUGUUAAUUUUUUAAUGACUUAUUCGGCGCCUUAC